AAAGGUUCGCAUGUCAAUAAUAAAAAGACUUAAGAGUUCACGAACACAACUUUAGACUUGCACAUGUAAAAUGACAAAGGUUUGCCUAUCAAGAUAACAUAUGAGUUUGCAUAGUAAAAUAAAGCAUAUGUUCGCAAAACAUUAUACUGCAUGCUACAUGAGUGCACAUAAAAUCAUAAGUUCGUACGCAAUAUUGUAGGGUCGCGAAAUAUUAAUAUUUCACAAGAUAUAGUAUAGUUUCGCAAGUAAACAGACUUUACAAACAAAA
rnacentral:lncRNA from 1 species